AACGUGAAGGAUAACGUUGCGUCAGCAACGGCCCGAAGGGCGAGGCGAAGUCGAGUCAUCCUGCACGACCCACCA
rnacentral:sRNA from 1 species